rnacentral:rRNA from 1 species
GAUGAACGCUGGCGGCGUGCCUAAUACAUGCAAGUCGAGCGAACGGACGAGAAGCUUGCUUCUCUGAUGUUAGCGGCGGACGGGUGAGUAACACGUGGAUAACCUACCUAUAAGACUGGGAUAACUUCGGGAAACCGGAGCUAAUACCGGAUGAUAUUUUGAACCGCAUGGUUCAAAAGUGAAAGACGGUCUUGCUGUCACUUAUAGAUGGAUCCGCGCUGCAUUAGCUAGUUGGUAAGGUAACGGCUUACCAAGGCAACGAUGCAUAGCCGACCUGAGAGGGUGAUGGGCAACACGGAAACUGAGAAACGGCCCAGAUUCCAAGGGGAGGAAGCGGUGGGAAAUCUUCGGCAAGGGGGGAAAGCCUGACGGGGAAAGGCCGCGUGAGUGAUGAAGGUCUUCGGAUGGUAAAACUCUGUAAUUGGGGAAGAAAAUAUGUGUAAGUAACAGGGAAGAUCUUAACGGUACCAAACAAGAAGGCCACGGCUAACUACGU